rnacentral:rRNA from 1 species
ACGGCUCAGUAACACGUGGACAACCUACCCUUGGGUCCGGCAUAAUCCUGGGAAACUGGGAAUAAUUCCGGAUAGGUCACCGAUGCUGGAAUGCGCGGUGGCCGAAAGCUCCGGCGCCCGAGGAUGGGUCUGCGGCCUAUCAGGGUUGUAGUGGGUGUAACGUACCUACUAGCCUACGACGGGUACGGGUUGUGAGAGCAAGAGCCCGGAGAUGGAUUCUGAGACACGAAUCCAGGCCCUACGGGGUGCAGCAGGCGCGAAAACUUUACAAUGCGGGAAACCGUGAUAAGGGGAUCUCGAGUGCCAGCAUAUAAUGUUGGCUGUCCAGAUGCCUAAAAAGCAUCUGUUAGCAAGGGCCGGGCAAGACCGGUGCCAGCAGCCGCGGUAAUAC